GAUGAACGCUGGCGGCAGGCCUAACACAUGCAAGUCGAGCGAGCGGCGGACGGGUGAGUAAUGUAUGGGAAACUGCCUGAUGGAGGGGGAUAACUACUGGAAACGGUAGCUAAUACCGCAUACCAUCGGAUGUGCCCAGAUGGGAUUAGCUAGUAGGUGGGGUAACGGCUCACCUAGGCGACGAUCCCUAGCUGGUCUGAGAGGAUGACCAGCCACACUGGAACAGAGACACGGCCCAGACUCAUACGUGAGGCAGCAGUGGGGAAUAGUGCACAAUGGGCGCAAGCCUGAUGCAGCCAUGCCGCGUGUAUGAAGAAGGCCUUCGGGUUGUAAAGUACUUUCAGCGGGGAGGCGUUACCCGCAGAAGAAGCACCGGCUAACUCCGUGCCAGCAGCCGCGGUAAUUC
rnacentral:rRNA from 1 species